rnacentral:rRNA from 1 species
UACGUAGGGUGCGAGCGUUAAUCGGAAUUACUGGGCGUAAAGCGUGCGCAGGCGGUUCGCCAAGUCGGGUGUGAAAUCCCCGGGCUUAACCUGGGAAUUGCGCUUGAAACUAGCGGGCUUGAGUGUGGCAGAGGGGGGUGGAAUUCCACGUGUAGCAGUGAAAUGCGUAGAGAUGUGGAGGAACACCGAUGGCGAAGGCAGCCCCCUGGGUCAACACUGACGCUCAUGCACGAAAGCGUGGGGAGCAAACAGG